rnacentral:tRNA from 1 species
GAGAGCAUAGCUCAGCGGUACAGUGCAUGCUUAGCGUGCAUGAGAUGCUGGGUUCAAUCCCCAGUACCUCCA